GACGAACGCUGGCGGCGUGCUUAACACAUGCAAGUCGAACGGAAAGGCCUCUUUCGGGGGGUACUCGAGUGGCGAACGGGUGAGUAACACGUGAGUAACCUGCCCUUGACUUUGGGAUAACUUCAGGAUACUGGGGCUAAUACCGGAUAGGAGCUCCUGCUGCAUGGUGGGGGUUGGAAAGUUUCGGCGGUUGGGGAUGGACUCGCGGCUUAUCAGCUUGUUGGUGGGGUAGUGGCUUACCAAGGCUUUGACGGGUAGCCGGCCUGAGAGGGUGACCGGCCACAUUGGGACUGAGAUACGGCCCAGACUCCUACGGGAGGCAGCAGUGGGGAAUAUUGCACAAUGGGUGGAAGCCUGAUGCAGCAACGCCGUGUGCGGGAUGACGGCCUUCGGGUUGUAAACCGCUUUCGCUCAUGACGAAGCUUUGUGUGACGGUAGUGGGUAAAGAAGCACCGGCUAACUACGUG
rnacentral:rRNA from 1 species